rnacentral:rRNA from 1 species
AUACGUAGUUUGAUCAUGGCUCAGAACGACGCUGGCGGCAGGCCUAACACAUGCAAGUCGAGCGCCCCGCAAGGGGAGCGGCGGACGGGUGAGUAACGCGUGGGAACGUGCCUCUUGCUACGGAAUAGCCUCGGGAAACUGGGAGUAAUACCGUAUGUGCCCUACGGGGGAAAGAUUUAUCGGCAAGAGAUCGGCCCGCGUUGGAUUAGGUAGUUGGUGGGGUAAUGGCCUACCAAGCCGACGAUCCAUAGCUGGUUUGAGAGGAUGAUCAGCCACACUGGGACUGAGACACGGCCCAGACUCCUACGGGAGGCAGCAGUGGGGAAUCUUAGACAAUGGGCGCAAGCCUGAUCUAGCCAUGCCGCGUGAGCGAUGAAGGCCUUAGGGUUGUAAAGCUCUUUCAGUGGGGAAGAUAAUGACUGUACCCACAGAAGAAGCCCCGGCUAACUCCGUG